GAGUAAGUUUGUACUCCUCGGCUCAGGACGACGCUGCGGCGUGCUUAACACAUGCAAGUCGAACGGAGUACCUCGAAAGAGAUUUCGGUCGAAUGGAGUAGGACGUACUUAGUGGCGGACGGGUGAGUAACGCGUGAGGAACCUAGCCUUUCAGAGGGGGACGAACAGUUGGAAACGACUGCUAAUACCGCAUAACGUACGGGUAUCGCAUGGUACUGGUACCAAAGAUUUAUCGCUGAGAGAUGGCCUCGCGUCUGAUUAGCUAGUUGGUAGGGUAACGGCCUACCAAGGCGACGAUCAGUAGCCGGACUGAGAGGUUGGCCGGCCACAUUGGGACUGAGAUACGGCCCAGACUCCUACGGGAGGCAGCAGUGGGGAAUAUUGGGCAAUGGGCGCAAGCCUGACCCAGCAACGCCGCGUGAAGGAAGAAGACUUUCGGGUUGUAAACUUCUUUUGACAGGGAAGAGCAGAAGACGGUACCUGUCGAAUAAGCCACGGCUAACUACGUG
rnacentral:rRNA from 1 species